GAUGAACGCUGGCGGCGUGCCUAAUACAUGCAAGUCGAGCGAACAGACGAGGAGCUUGCUCCUCUGACGUUAGCGGCGGACGGGUGAGUAACACGUGGAUAACCUACCUAUAAGACUGGGAUAACUUCGGGAAACCGGAGCUAAUACCGGAUAAUAUAUUGAACCGCAUGGUUCAAUAGUGAAAGACGGUUUUGCUGUCACUUAUAGAUGGCUCCGCGCCGCAUUAGCUAGUUGGUAAGGUAACGGCUUACCAAGGCGACGAUGCGUAGCCGACCUGAGAGGGUGAUCGGCCACACUGGAACUGAGACACGGUCCAGACUCCUACGGGAGGCAGCAGUAGGGAAUCUUCCGCAAUGGGCGAAAGCCUGACGGAGCAACGCCGCGUGAGUGAUGAAGGUCUUCGGAUCGUAAAACUCUGUGAUUAGGGAAGAACAAAUGUGUAAGUAACUAUGCACGUCUUGACGGUACCUAAUCAGAAAGCCACGGCUAACUACGUG
rnacentral:rRNA from 1 species